AUGUGUCACCUUCUGGAUCACAAGCGCGUGCUCCUUCAUGAUGUACUAGCAAUGCCAGAGGCUCGUCGACAUGGGCAUUGUUCCCCUCAGAAGUGUUUUUUGCUUCCUUUGAGAAACAGAGGCUGGGCAGCUAAGGAAUGGAUGCAUGGACAGCACGGUCCUGGACUGGGUGCCGGGAAUGCCCAAAGGCAUUUGCCUGAAAGACUUCCCGGACUUCAUCCUCACCGCGGACCCCGACGACGCCAUGCUCAAAGUCGUCAUGCGCUCAAUGGCGUGCCACACGACUACCCCGUCCGCCGUCAUCUUCCACACAUUCGACGAGAUCGACCGCGAGGCCAUCGCAACCAUGUCCACCUUCCUGCCAAAAAUCUACGCCGUCGCACCAUUGCCGCUCCUCCUCGGUCAAGCCUCUGGCACUGGCAGCGUGAGUUUUUUUUAGAAAAGGAGGAUGACCCCUGGCCUCUGUAUCUGGGUUAUGCAAUUUUGGAGUCAACAAAUCUGCUUAGUUAUCUGUAUAUCGGUCAGUCCCUGUCAUUGCUGAUUGUUUUGAGUCAUUAA
rnacentral:rRNA from 1 species